rfam:Nematostella vectensis strain CH2 x CH6 NEMVEscaffold_486_Cont28485, whole genome shotgun sequence.
GUUGCGGUGGCCGAGUGGUUAAGGCGUUGGACUCGAAAUCCAAUGGGAUCUUCCCGCGCAGGUUCGGAUCCUGCCCGCAACG